UGAAAAAUUCAAGUGUCAGUCUUACAUUUUGAAUGCAAUGUUUCAUUUUACGAUUUGACAGUCAUAUUUUUUUAUUUUUUUAGUGGCCCAAAUCGGAGAUAACGCUCUUAAAGUAAAUUGGGAUAAUUCUAUAAACCGAGAUCAAAUUAGCUUAUUUUUUGAGUAUAAUAAUCAAAGUCGAAUGGGUUAAGAGUGAAAAAUUCAAGUGUCAGUGUUACAUUUUGAAUGCAUGUUUCAUUUUACGAUUUGACAGUCAGAUUUUUUUAUUUUUUUAGUGGCCCAAAUCGAAGAUAACGAUCUUAAAGUAAAUUGGACCUGGAAGUUACUGUAGUUUUUUAUUUAAUUCCUAAACUGCCCUGUUACGAAAUUACCUAACUACCCAUUCAAUUGAUUCCCCCUCUCUCUCUCUCUCUCCAUCUCUUUUAUCAGUUUAGGGUUUGUUGCCCACGCCUCUUUGCCUCGCCAUUGACCCAGCCGAAGAAGAGAAAAAUCUGCUACCAACUAAUACUAACUCCGGCCAUUACUAGAUAACACCGGCAACAAGUCACUCCGGCGACACUUCUCAGGUCACUCUUUUCUUCAUCCCUAGUCGGUUUGAAAGCAUUCUGUAAGAAUUGCGUAUGUAAUAAAGUUCUUGGUGUUUACUUCAAAUUUCUUUCACCUUUGAUUUACCGAUUGAUUGCUUCUUUGAAACUACCCUCUUAAUUUUCUUUCUUUCUUGGUAUCAAAGCUAGCAAAAAAUAAGCGAGGAGUUGAAAUAUCAAUGAGAAAUUGAUAGGAGUAUUUUUUUGGAGCUUGAUAGGCGUCUUGAUUAUUACAUUGUGUAGAAUUGUUGUUGCUUCCUCUGAUACCCAUGUUCCUCGGACAUUAUACCGUAAGUAGAAAUAAAAGGAUUGUUUUUUAAACAAAAAAAAAAAAAAAAAGAAUAGGAAUGGAACUAUUGAUCAAGCGAAUUAAUACAAAAAAAAUAAAAAAAUAAAAAAAGAUUUAACAAAUUAAUUUCCGCCUUAAAAAUAAGUCGUACAUCAAAUUUACAUACUUUCCAACGAAUAGUGUCUCUCGAAUUAGUGCCCAGCUGAGAAUAGCCACAAUUACAAGAAGCAAUGGGUCUCUGGAAUUAGUGCCCAUAACAUGAGGCAGAAUGCAGUUUGUAUUGUUGAUUUAAGCAGAACUUUGUAUUGUUGAGGAUAUUUUAGAUGCAUUUUGUUUAUCAUUUGGAUUACAAUUUGUAUUGUUGAUUUAAGCCCAAAAUUUUGUAUUAUUGUCAGUAGUACUAUUUUAUUAUGAAAACUCAUUAUUGUUGUGUGUGUC